GUGUUCCUCAGGGCGCGAAGUCCCUUCGACAUGAGGUGCCGUGUUUUGACGUUUCUCAGCGGAGUCCUUGUGACGCUCCUAUGCUUGUUGGUGUUGCCUCAAAAAAGUGAAUCUUUCGUGUUGCCUAUAGUGCUCUUCAAACAUUUCCCACUUUACCAUGGACAUCAUCACAAAGGCAUCGGACUAUUGCCGGUACCCAUCCCCAUACCGGUCAAACAUUUGCCCCGGAUAAAAGUGCGAAUUCAGCUUGGAGGAAAGAAGAAGAAAACUUACCAUCAUCACCACGUCGAUCACGGCGAUUGGGAUUGAGGAAUCGGUUGGUCGUCACAUGGUCGACUACUCGCGGCAUGAUUCUGACAGACGAAUACUCAAGAGAAAACUUGUU